UACGUAGGGACCAAGCGUUGUUCGGAUUUACUGGGCGUAAAGGGCGCGUAGGCGGCGUGGUAAGUCACUUGUGAAAUCUCUGAGCUUAACUCAGAACGGCCAAGUGAUACUGCUGUGCUAGAGUGCAGAAGGGGCAAUCGGAAUUCUCGGUGUAGCGGUGAAAUGCGUAGAUAUCGAGAGGAACACCUGCGGCGAAGGCGGGUUGCUGGGCUGACACUGACGCUGAGUGCGCGAAAGCCAGGGGAGCAAACGGG
rnacentral:rRNA from 1 species